GGGACCGCGGCCUCGGUACACUUCCCGAGGUGCCUCCACAGCGGCUCAGGAGGAGCACCUCACUGCCCCGCGCUGAGCAGCCUGAGGAGCGCCUAGAGCUGCCACAAAGCCUACACAGCGAGACGGCUGCCCUGUGCCCUCUUGGCUUUCCCAGAAAGCAGGCGGUGGCCACAGCCAAAGCUGGGUGGUAGAGGCCUGUGAGCUGCUGGCUAAAUGGACAGAACAGCUCCCUGCACGCCCGGCACGGAAGCCCAGGCUUUUCCAGCCGGCUUCUGAGCCCCGGGGAGGGGAGAGGCAGAGCCAGCAGCCUUCACGACAUGCUACCAGAGCCCCACAGAGACUUGGCUUAGCUACAGACACGUGGAAACGGCAAGAAAAACUGAAAAGUCAACAGACCCUGUAAGCUACUUGGGAAGUCCUUAAGGAGAGAGAGGUUAAGAAGAAAAAUAUUUUCUGUGUUAAACAAAGGAAAAAUGCUGUGACACAGUGCAUCUGGAUCCCAUGUGAUUCUGUCUUGCUUUCUAGCAUACAAAUAACUAUUUUUUUUCAGUAAUAAUUACAAUUUUAUAUAUCCCUUUAAAAGAGAUCAAAAGAAAACAGACUUAGAGAAGAAAGACGGAGAUUAACGGAUUCUUUAAAUCAGAAUAGAGAAUCAUCAAAGAACUCCAAUCUGGAACCGACAAUGUCCGCAAAAAAACAGUCCCAGACGAGAACAAUCUACAGUGUAAUGGAAGUUUGGUUUCUUUGUAAACUCGGAUAUUUUGACAGUGAGACGUCAGCUCCUGGCAGCACCCCCAUUCUAUCGCAAAGAAGAUGCUUGCAUAUCGAAGAACCUCCAUAAAGAGUUUGCUUUAAGAGUGGUAAGCUCGCCACUGGGCAAAAACGACCCUUGCUUCAACUGCAGAUGGCAUACUGUCAAAGCUGUGGACAAGCAGGACACAGAAGAAGUCCAUUUCCUAUCUUUGCCGAGACAAGGGAGAAAUGUUCCAGAGAACCUCUCAGGGCGAUCCAGCUGAGCCUUGCGGCUUUCACUGACUCGUCCCGAUCUUCUGAAUCAUCUUCUGAAUCGUGCUGGUUCAUGUUGCUGCUUAGUGUUGGCCUUUGGACUGGACUUCUGGUAUCUGGACAACAAAGAGUAGACUCAUCCCAAGGAAUUACUUUCAAAAAGGUCUACAAUCCCCUUUACCUAAUAAGCUCCUUUUCCUCCUAUUUCUGGUUGGUGGGUGGAAGGGAGGUAGAAGCAUUUAAGAUUUGGUGAAAAAUCUAAGCCUACAGACAUGUAUAGAAGGGAUAGCUGUGUGUCUCUUAUCCUAUCUAAUACCUUCCCCAAACCGGUAAACUCCCAGCAUGCAGCAACCCCAAGGUAUAGUGGGACAAUAGAAUUAGUUUCCAAAAUCAGUGCUUUUUGUAUCUUAUCUAGUACUGAUCUGCUAAGAUGAGACAUCUUUUUAAUCUCAGAGGCCUCUACUAAAGUAGAUAAAAAUGGGAAAAUUCCUUUGUGUCUCAAAUUAUUUGCUCUCCUAGCCCAGCUUCCCUGGCUGUAGUGACUAUCGUUAGUAAAGAAUACUUUGAUUGAAAUUCAUCUUUGAAUCUCUCAAACCUUGAAUCUUUUCUUAUUUAAAACAAUGGCAAUUGUCCAAAUUACACAGAUAACCAAACAUCUAGACUUAGCUUUCUUUAUCUUCUAAGGAAAAACCAAAUCCAAAUAUCCAGUUAUAGAAUUAUCCUCAAUUCCUAGCAAUUCAUUCCAGUCGAGGCUUUUUGUUUGUUUUGAAAAUAGGGUCUCACACCUCCAUUACAUUCCCUUCAUAGCAGAGGCUGGCCUUACAUUUUUAAGAUCCCGCUGCCCCCACCUUCCCAAAGCUGGGAUUGUAGGCUUGUGCCACCACUACCUGUUUACACAAAGCUGCUUUUGUGAACCUUCCUCCAAAUCAUUUAACACUAACUGAACUGCCCCUGGGUAAGACACUAACUCACUUCAUUAAAUCCACUCUAGUUCAAUAGUCUUUGGCUAAGUGGCAUUGACAUUGGCAUAAGCAACUCAGAUUGGACGAUGGGAUCAUUCUUUAAGGUGUGAAAGAAUGAGGAAUGAUCAGUGUGUCGGUUUGAAUAGGUGUGAUCCCCGUAGACUCGUGUGUUUGAAUGCUUGGCCAUAGGGAGUGGCACUCUUAGGAGGUGUGGCCUUGUUGGAGAAAGUGUGCUACUGUAGAGGCAGGGCUUUGUGGUCUUCUAAGCUCAAGUUAUACACAGAGUCUCCUCCCCUCCUGGCUGCGUUUGGAUCAUGAUGUACAACUCUUGGCUCCCCCAGCACCAUAUCUGCCUGCAAGCUGCCAUGCUUCCCUCCAUGAUGAUAAUGGACUAAACUUCUGAGACUGUAAGCCAGCCCCAAUUAAAUAUAACACCACAUGCCUUGGUCGUGUGUCUCUUCACAGCAAUGAAAACCCUAACUAAGACCAUCCAUGAUGGCGUUGACCAUUUCUGAUACCCUAAACAGAAGGCAUCAGUAACCACCUCUGUAUGUGCCAGGUUCAACUACAAGUCUAGGACAGCCAAGGCUACACAAAGAAACCCUGUCUCAAAAACAAACAAAAACAAAACAAAAAAACAAAGAUUUCAUUUUGGGGCUGGAGAGAUGGCUCAGUGGUUAAGAGCACUGGCUGCUCAUUCUUCCGGAGGUCCUGAGUUCAAUUCCCAGCAACCACAUGGUGGCUCACAACCAUCUAUAAUGUGAUCUGAUGCCCUCUUCUGGCAUUGUACAGAUAAAAUACAUAUACAUAAAAAUAAUAAAUAAAUUUUAAA